GCCGCAGAAGACGCUGGAUUGGGCCAAAGAUGUGAUGCACUGCUGAUGUGUUGCUACCACUGGUGCAACUAAUUGGGCUUAAUGAUGAAGUGUGACUUGGGCUGCUGGCUGAAAUGGCUGAGACUGAAUUGGAACACUAGGCUAAUUCCAACUAAGUGGAACGACGCCGUCUUGAUGCGUCUUGGCAGCAGCUUCCUAGGGGUCUUGCUCGUGGAUAUUCAUUUGGAGAAAAAGAAGAAAAGAAUUCCUGAAGCACUCUCAUUUGGAGGAAACUCACCCUUCGAGAGUUAGGGCUUAUUCGAGUGAGAAGAGGAGAACUCCACUGGAUGCACGCCACUGACCAGAGACCUGACCGAAGCUGACCAGUGGAAAUGAAGAGUUGAUCGGAUAGCUGGAAGUGGAGCUCACGUAGGAAAACAGAUGACUGUCUGUUCAGAACCUCAAAGCUUCUCUUGCAAGUUUCUUCUUCCCUUUUCCCUCUUUCAUUCUUUUCGUUUUCUUCAGACCCUAUAAAAAGGGUGUUUCUGCCUUGUAAAUAGUUUGAAGAGACACUUUCAGAUACAGUUUUACAUUUUGUAGAUUAGGUUUUUAUACUUUCUAUAGAAUAAGUUUUCGUUCUCUGCUUUUGAAGCGCACACCUGCGGUGGUGACAGCCCGUAGAGGCUUCGAUUGCGAGUUCUGUUCGGUAUCUUUCCUUGUACUUGUGAUUUCUUGUUAAUAAAAUUUGUUUCUUUUAGUGAUGUGUUCAGUGUUUUGUGCUUCUGUUAUGUGUUUCUAUGUUUCUUGUGUUGUUAUAAUUAAAAAUUGAAUUGGAUUCUGAUUCUCUGCAUCUCUACAAUUCCUUUUGGAAUUAAAUGACUCCAUAGUGAGCAUUCUUGAUCGAGAUGUCUUCUCGAGCCAGAGAAGAGUCCAUUGUAAAAAGAUUCAUCAGAUUAUGUUCUAUUUUAGUCUUGUGUUUUCUGUUUUUGUGAAACUGUGC
rnacentral:lncRNA from 1 species